rnacentral:lncRNA from 1 species
GAGAAUAUAAUAUCCAUAUUACUUUAUGAACAAAACAGACUUUUUCUAUUUAGAAUACUACCUCCAUUUCUAGCUUUAUAUGUUUUGGGGUUUUAGCUGAGACUAUUAUGGAAAAAGCUGAAAAGCUAUAGGCAAAAUUUAAUAUGGGUAUUUAUCAGGCAAUGCAAAACUUUUUUGCAGUGAUUAGGAAAUCACCUCUUUAGUUGCUUUAAAUCAUAUGUAUAUUUCAUAUUUAUGUGAUGUUUAUAUAUAAUGAUUUCCUUUAGAUGAAGAAAUACAUUAUAUUGUCUACUACAUAAUUACUUUUGCCAAACUGUCUCAAACAAAAUAGCAUUUCUUCAGACGAGAAAUUCUAUUAAAGAUCCAAUCUGCAAAAUUUACACUCAUGCUUAGCUAUACAACAUCCAAAUAUUCCCAAUGAACUCAGUGGAAAUGUUCCCAGGUCUCAGUUCUUCAGGCUCCUGUUACGCUGCAAAGUAUUUAAACAUAUUCUCAAGUCCCCUUACCUUUACAGAGCUGUAAGAACAAGUUUAUAAUUAAUUAAUUUUUUAAUUGUGACAACCAUUUCACUUUGUCCAAGUGCACUUCAGCCAAAUGCCUUUGGGUUUAACUCUGGUACCCCAGUUACUACUAUAUUACACAGCAGCCUUCUCAAAUGCAAGAAUGGUUUUCUUUAAAUGGGUAAAUACUGAAGAUAUCAGCAGUAACUAAAGUAGAAAGCCAUGUGUUGUGAAAAUUAACACGUAGGCCCUAAUUUAGAAAACCUGUGAUCAGAUAUUUACAGGCACUUCUAAUCAGUUAACUGUUUACUUAUUUAAAUGCAUACCCAUGGCAAUAUCCAUAUGUUAAGGGUGAGGGAUUGUUCUCAGUCCCUAUGGCAAACUCCACAGCAAAUGUAAAGCAAAGCAAAGCUGUCUUACCUCAACCAAUUCUCCAGAAAUAGAGUUGCUGAAUCUAAAUGUCCCAUGGGGAAUAGUCCAUGGAACAGACUCCUUCUGAAUAAUACCUACAGACUUCUGGAAGGCUGCUAACUAGGCAAGGCCAAAGGCUUCCUGGGACUGAAAUUCCCAGGAUUAGAGAUGACCAUAAUUGGAUGUUCAGGUCUAUGUCCUGGACCUCAUAGUCUUUCUUGCACAGAGAUGUACAGUAGGGCAGAUGUGGAGGAUAGACAUCUGAGUCUAAAAUAUAAAUACUACAAUGAAUGUGAAUAGACUUCCUGAAUGAAAAAAAAAAUCUGAAUUAUUAAUUAUAAAUACAUUUUCCAACAUCUUUAGGUUUUUUGUUUUUUGGUUUUCUUUGUCCUCAUGAAUUCACAGAUUCUUUCAAAUCACUGGCAAUGUAUUCAUCUUCUCAUGGGGUUGCAAAUAGUUCUGUCAGUGCAUUUCUGCAUUGUGCAUUAAGAGCUUAUUCCAGCUAUAGUUUGCACUGGUUUCUUUUUAUUAUUUUUACCAUUUAAACUCAAAUUGAAUCAUAACCAGAUUGUUAUAGUCCUUGGGGGGAGGAGGGAAGUUUUAGGAGGCUGAAGUAUUUUAAAUGGGAGAAUUUUGACUAAUGACUGAUGAAUAAUAAGCACCAUCAUCUGAAUCAUUAUUUUUUUCCUAGAAGUCCCCAGCCUUUUGAUUCUGGAAGGACCUUUAUUGAGUCAUAUCUUUGGCUUGGAUUCAGGCAAAUAUUUUUGUCAUUCUGCAAAUAACAGAAGUGGUGAAUUGUGGAAAAUUUCCAUCAACUCCUGUAUGAAAUAGUGGUACAGCUCUAUGUUAGGGUUUAUUGCACAUCUUUUCUGGUUUAGAAUUGCUCUCUAUACGAAGAAAUUUCUUCAGCUAAAAUUGACUAGAUCUAUGUGAGUUGUGGUUUGGAUACUUUGAUGUCAAUAACAUCCUAAACCAUUACACAAUUCAGAUAUGACACUUGGUAGUUCUUCACCUCUAAUUCUGGUAUGUCCCAACAGAAAUAAAUAAAUAAAUAAAUAAAUUAGCAGGGCUAUGAUAUGAUUUUCUUACACAGAAUUCUUCUAACAUCUCCAAAAUAAGAAGACUUUUCUUCCAUCUAUACUUACAAGAAGUGCCCACCCUUGAGAUGUAUGAAUAACAUCCAGAGGAAGAAGAAUUGAACAUGACAUCAGGGAGUAUCUGACAACAUAAAAAAAUGCAGGAAAUGUAUAUAUGAUAAUCUUUGGAUUUUGAAGUAUUGUCUUUGUCCUAACAUGUAGACUUGUAAUUUUUGCACAGAUAUUUAAAUACUUUCUGCCUUUUAUGACAUCUUGUUCAAGUGGAAAAUGAUGGUGGUGAUUUAGGUUUGUCGCAUUCACUUCCAGUGUUAAUACUCUUAACAGUAUUAAAAUGACUUCCACUAAGUGUGGUUAAAUUUAUUUGGGAAGCCAAUUAAAUAUGUAAUAUUAGGGAAUUUUAAUACUGAGUGGGGUUAAUGAAAGUCUUAAUGUGGUUUAAUUAAUCAAAUUUAAAUUCACGCCUCCAGAGUCUUAUGAUCAGUUCUCCAGAAUUUCCCAUUAAGUGCAGGAAACUAGAUUUAUUGUCUUCUUUUCUACCAGUGAGCAGGAAAUGCCUGGACAAAAGCUUUUGUAGCACAGAAUAUAAUUAGCACAGUACAUUGCUAUUAUCCUUUACGUUGUCCUUAAAAGCUUAGAAGAGAGAUGUUUCAGAACCAGAAGAUGAAGAUGUUUACUGAAGUUUGGCUUCCAACUUACUGCUGAAAUUCAGGUAGCUAUUGUUGGUACCCUUGACAAUUUUGCACCAGUCCACCAGAAUUAUUUGAAGUCACUACAGAGCAAUGCCAUUCUCUUUCUGCUCCAAUGCAAGGGAGACGUUUUAUGAGAAAUGCCCUACUGACUUGAAGCAAGACAGAAAUGCAGACAGCAACGUGUAUCAUUCCAGCCUUCUGCUCUCCAGAAAAGAUAGUGCUUGUGAGAUUUCUGGUUGGCCCCUACUGAAGGUUGUUCACAUGUGUUCUGAAGGCAGCGCAGUACAGGACAGAGAAAUAGUGACCACUCGUGUUAUUCCAAAGCGUUAUCUUCCUGAUCUGUAAUCAAGCAGAUCAUUAUGGUUUACAGAUGGAAGGGGAAGGCAGACAGUAGAUUGGGAAGCUGUGGAAGAGGAAAUGCAUCAAGUUCAAUUCAGCAGAGCAAGCACUUAGAGAAGCAAAAGGAACAAAUCACAGCCUCAGAAACGGAGUUUGGCUGCUUAUCAGGUUUUUACACAAAUGAUCUCUGUGCCUGAAGUCUGAGCAAUUCUUCUGAAGGAACAACAGAAGUUAGAAAUCUGAUUUAGCCUGACAAGCCGAAUGAAGCUUGGUGGAACUGAACAUAUAAAAGAUGAUAAUUACUGAGGACUUUUCAGAGAACUCACAAGAAUCCGUCCAGAGGGCUCACUCUGUACCAAAACAAGUGUCAAAAUAGAUGAGUGAAACUUCAUGGUCAGGAAAACCCCAUUCACUGGGAAGGUCAGUGUCACAAGAGUAUUUUUCCCUGUGGAGAAUUUGCUCUUCAAAAAUAUGAUGAGAUAAAACAUUACUGGUACCAUGUUAUAUUACUUUUGCUGAAAUGGGAACUGCGUGGGUGGCUGACAAACUUGAGGGAGUGAACAUGCAUCUGACUAAUACUGUCUUUAUCUUAUCUUUUCUGUGGGCUAAAAAGCAGCAUUGGGAAACACUUAUGGAAUGGUCUUUUCCUCAUGGCUCUUUAACCUGAUUAUAUCCUUAUUUACUAUUUAUAUCCUUCAAGUUUUCCUUUAUUAUAUCAGAAUGCAAUGCAUGAUACAAUGGAUUGAAGGUAAAUAAGCAGUAGUAAUAAUUAAUCAGAAGCCCAGUGAUUUUUCUUUAAAUAUUUAUGUUUGCAAGGCACUGAAUCAGGUUCUCAUCAAGGAGUAGAUUUUUAUAGCAUGAAUAAGAUAAAGUGAGUAACAUUUCUUCCUGUUAAUCUAAGUCCUUCUAAUGUAUUUAUCCUGAGUACAACAAAGCAAGUGCUGCACAUUGAUACUUAGCUCUGUUUACCCACAUGGAUGCUUUUGAUAAACUUCCCAUGAAGCCCUCUUUGGUGUUGGGAGAGUAACUUUUUGCCAUGGGUUUUUCCAAAACAAAAUAAAAGUUUAUGGGAAAGAUCAGCUGACCAGUGCAUCUGAAACUUGUGUAGUUUCCUUUCUGCCUCAAGGAGGACUUGCAGAUUACAUUUGAUCGGUGAAACCUGAGUUCAAGACCUCACCCAGAGUGUUGAAACUCUUUGGCAAACCUAAGUAACAUCUGCAAGACCUUGUGAGGAUGUUAUGUAUAGCUGCAAUGAGCUCAACACACGUUGAUCUCUGAUCAGAAUUACAGUUUUUUUUUUAACUAUUUCAACAGGAUGUAGUGCACCAGUAAAGAAGAAAAUUGUGAUAUAUGCUAAAGUUUGCUAGACUAUAUACUCGCAUACAUAAAAAUAAUUAUACCAUAUAUGUAUGUGUAUGUAUGUGUGUAUAAAUAACUUUAUUUUGUUUUCAAAUAACUAUCUUAGAUCUCAAUCCCAGUCUUACUGUAUGCAGUAGGAAUUGCUCAGUGAAUAAUAAGAACAUAGCAAAAUAAUUACAAAAAAAAAAAAACCUAACAAAACAAAAAAAAACCCAUCAGAUCAUACUUCUAAUGCUGUGUGAUUUUAAAGCUCAGUUUGUUUGUAAAGAUUCAGUAGAUUUAAAGCAUAAUAUUAUUUGUUUAUUUUGCCGUUACUAAUUAAAAUUAAUUUUUUUAAAAUUUAAUUUAAUUUUAUUUAAAAUUAAUUUUAUUAAAAUUAAAUAAUUAAAGACAUUUGUAUAAAACAGAAAAAAAUAAAACAAAGUUCAUCACAACAAUCUUUGAUUUACAAAACUAUUUUCCAUGUGUCUUCUUUUUUUUUUUUUUUUUUUUUUCCCAUGGGGAUUUUUCUAAUCUCUCAUAUAACCAUUAAAUUAAGUAAAAUCUUCUCAGAUUUAUGAGAAAUCUGUGGAAAUCUGUGUAACUUCAAGGAAGGAUUGGAAACUGAAAUUUCUCACCCUUGGAAAUUUUUGACGCUUCAAUAGUAUAAUAUACAGGCAAAUAAGAAAUAAAAUGCUUUCACAAACUUCAAAAAUCUUAGUUGAAAAAAAUAAUUUUCUAAAUUAUUGAAGGUCACUUCACCACUGGAUGAUAUUUGCUUGAACUUACAUAUCGUGUAAGGAGGCUUAAAAUUUAUGUGUUUUAUCUUUUUGGUAAGAUCUAUUUGCCUCGUUUCUUGGGCAGGCAUCAUGAAUGAUAAUAUACUACAGUCAUGGGGCUUUCAGCCUGUUCUUCAGGUGGGGAGUUCAAAAUAAGUUAUGAAAAGUAGCAUGAAUAGGAAUCUUGUCUUCUUAAGAUUUAUGGCUCCCACUAUAAAUAUAAAAUUGAUCUAAAAGCAAGUAAGCAAUUUAGAAGUGAGUCAGCACUGCUCCUGAAAUCUCUGCCGUUUUGUGUGUCCUCUCUCCUCCACACUCCCUACUGGCUCCCACCUCCAGAGUGUGGAUGGAAGAUGACUUUUUAUACUAAUCAGUCCCAUUGAGUAGUCUUACCAUGAAAAUUGUGUGCAAAACACAAAACUCAGUGAGAGCUGACUAGCAAAUUUAAUUGUAAGAUUAAUAAAGUGAUGUAAUUUUUAUAUAUGUACUGUAGCAGAGUAUUUCCUAGUGGUGGUUUAGUGUGUGGGCAUAUGUGCAAGCUCAAGGUGGGCAUUACAUGCAUGAUAUGAAGAGAAAAGUGAAGGAACAGUAACAAGGGUGAAAUUAUUGGGGGAAUACGAGACAUGCACUGGGACUGUGAAAGAAACACACACUCAGUUGACUCAUGCCAACUCAUCUCUCACUCUUUUUCAUGGCCCAUCUUCCUCUAAAAAUAUUUGAGCCCACAAUUAGAGAAGUGAAGGUAUCAGAGAUAUUAAGUUCUGACAAGCUGCUUAGAAGAGAGACUCUGUUAAUUACUUCAGUGACAGAAUUGAGCUUUGUGCAUGUUAGACACCUGGGAAUGUACAGAAGAACUCAUCUCCAAAACACAACUUCUUAGGAAGAAAAAACACAACUUCUUAGGAAGAAAAAACACAGCUUCUUAGGAAGAAAAAACACAGCCUUACUAUCCCAGUGGUCUUGGAGAGACUAUCUUUUCUGUAAACACUUUUACAUUUAGCUUGGAUAAUAGAAAUCUACAGGAUAAACUACGUUGACCAGAGAUUUUCUUUUACUGCUUUUUUUUUUUCUUCUUCUUCUUUAAGAAACACAUGCACAUCACUAUGCAAGUCUCCACACAAGCGUACUCCAAGGGAACAAACUCUUUCUUUUGGUGAAGUCAGCCAAAGGGAACUAGAAGGCCAGUAAGUAAGUCUUGCUGCCUGUCUUUGGAGAAUAAAUUUGCUGAGUUUUGGGAACUUUCCAAACAUCUGUACCUUUCCAUGUACAGUAUCAGAACUGUGAGCAUCACUGACAGAUAUGGAUCCUAAAUGAGAUCUCUUCUUCAGAACAGGCCUGGCAGCACUCAACCUAAUCCUUACCUUCUGCUUCCAGUGCUUUAUAUUCCACAUUCAUUUGGCUGAUGUGAACUAGGAUCAAAUGAAAGGAUUUGGAUGUGUUCAGCUUGGCCCCCUUUUCAGGUUCAAAACAAUGUGAGAAGCUAUGGGAACCAGCUAUGAGGCUGAUAGACAUAAAAACAUCUAAGUCUGAGGCAUCUGACUCUUCACCGGCAGUGGACUAUAAGCCAAAGGCAGCAAACAAAAGAGGCAGGGAUGAAGUUGGUCAGCUGUUGUUAGUCCUCACAGAAAAGUGUGGCAUGAGGAAAGGCUUGCAGCCAUCCUACUUCAAAGAAUUUAUCUGGCAAUAAGAGAAAUCCUUUUCUGUUGCACCUUCUCCCGAACAACCAUGUGAUGGCUCACAAUACCCAUUACACAAGCCCACAGGAGGAGAAAAGCAUCCCACAGACCAUGAAUUCUUCUUAUAAAGACUAAAUGGAACCUAUCACAAAAAUGAAUAUCCUGAUCCACUGACAGAAUAAUAAUAAUAAUAAUAAUAAUAAUAAUAAAAACAGUGAUGGACAAAAUGAUUUCAAUUUGCUUGAAAGAUUUUGCUCAGUAUUUGUUGUCGUUUGUUCUGCUUUUAAAAACAUUUUAGUUAAAUAUGAAGUAACGUUUGACUUGGCUAUUCUUAAAAUAUUAUUAGUUUGUUUGGUAUGAAACAUUCAUGGCUAGAAAAGUUGGCCCAUCUCUUACCAGUUUGCUUAUGCAUUUAUUUUAUUUCACCAUACUAUCUCCAUCCCUCAGAUCCAGCAGAUCUUUAAGAAAUUGUGCACAGAGUCCUGGAUUCCAUGUAAAGGAAUGGAAAAAAACUUUUCUUAGUUCUGUCCCAUAGCUUUGGAUCUCAGGUAUCCUUAAGAGUAAUAUGUGGUGUUUCUUUUUUACCCAGCUCCUGUGAAGGGGGUUGACUGGGGCGUAUGUCUAACUUCUUGGCUUAAAAAUGGGUUGUUGGGCAGAUGUCCAAGCAUCCACUGGUGACUGCCUGUAGCUUUGUGAGUGACUGCAUGUAAGUUGGGCUCUGGUAACUCAUCUCUUUCCACAAAGGUUACCAGGUAGAGCACAGUUCCUCAUGGAGGUGGUAAUUUGCUUGACUGUCCCACCUUUGGUUUUCUUUGGGUAGAAAGCACAAAGUCCUAUACUACUUCCUACAGCCAGCUCAGAUUUCUCACGUUUUUUGUUCUUAAGGAUGAAGUCUCCUUGGUCAGUGCUAUAGGUAAUUUAGAGUUCAAUUUGUCUAAAAGUUAGAUGCCUUAUUCCUUAUUACUCCCUCAUUUGUCUGACAUCAUCUAGGAAAGGGCAAAACCAACAACAGCCGUAAGCUUGGAAGUAGCUCAGAGCUUUAUUUCUAAACAAUUUCAAGAGUCUCCUUCAUGAUCUUGAGUAUGUAAUUACAGUCCAAGUCUAUCCAAUCUAUAAAAUAAUGAACAUUUCCUUUGUAAAGGCACUUCCAGCUAUUAAUGCUACUUUCUGGUAGCUAAGAAUUUCAAAUAUAUAAUAACUGUUGAAUACUUCUAUAUAUGGAGAAGAGAGAGUGGAGGGAAGAGAAAGUCUACUAGGUUAAAAACAAAUGCAGGCAUUAAUUUAAUAGACCUUGUUCUAAGCAAAGCAAAAUUUGUGUUUUCUCAGUUUCUUGACACUGAAAUGCUGUUGUUUUCCUGAUAAAGUAGUCAGGAUCCACAGCUCUUGCCCAAACUUUGCAGGUCACUGGUUUCCAAAAAUAGACAAAAAUAAUUAUAGAUAACUUUAUAACACAGAAUUUAAUCUUAUAACUAUUAAUAACUACCUUAAAUUUGUGAUUAUCUGAACAUGUCCUAAAUAAAAUAAAAUUAUAAUUGUUUCAGUUUGAAAGAAAAAAAGCAGUCUCUAAAUAUCAGGUAAAUUCAUCCAAAACCCUGCCCCAUUCUUUCCUUUGUUCUUGAAUCCACCACCAUACCAGACAUUCUUGGAUAAUACCUGUACAGCUAUGGAAAUGGGGAGAACCAUUUUUUCAGCAUCUUUGUGGAACUGCAGGGCAAAGCUUGUGACUGAAAUAGUAACCCUUAAAGAGCUAGUGCAAGUGUGAGGGCCCUUAUACCAGGCAUGAUUUGAAAGAGGUGCCACGUAAAAAAUAAUUUUCUGAAUUCUGCACUGGCCUUAUCUCUGGGGUAAGCCUAUGGUUUAGCCCCAUAAAAUUGCUGUCCUAGUAGUCUAGGUCAGAGAUCUCAUGGCAUUAAUGGCAGAAGCUAUAAGAUUUCCUCGUGAAAGACCUCAAGGAGAUCUUUAACAAAUUGGUAAGAUCUGCUCCUGAAAAGUGGAAUUCUGGAUUACAUGAAAUAGAGUGAAAAACAGAGAUGGCUAAACUGCACUUUUCUGUCCAAAUAGCAGCUGUGAGUACAAUAUGACUCUAAAGACUUGCUCCCACACUUCUCUCUAAAGUCACCCUACAGUUUUGCAUAUCUUUUCUGGCUAUUUUCUUAAGCAAUAAUACGUUUUUAUUUUCUAGACUGAGUCACAGCCAGAUGAGUCUUAUAUUUACUUUAAACUUUCUCCGGCAUCCAUAUGACUACUGAAGAUGGUCAGAUCAGAUAAUGAAGAGCAGCAGUCUUUAUCCUUCUCAGCGAGCAGAGCUUAAAUCUUUUUCCAGUGAAGCUGUAGAUGGCAGCAUAUCAACUUUAUGCUUCUUGAGAAUUAUCUUGUUAACUUCACAUUUCCAGAAAAGGGCCGUGAACUCUCAGGGAUUUUUGGACUGCAGAUUCAAAGCCAUUGUUUUAGAAAUACAGCCUGAGUUUCUUGCAAGAUCAUCGAACAGCCGUGUGGCAGAGGACUCACUGGAACGUGGGACUGAUGCCAAUCCCUUGCACAAGAUGCUGAUAACCAGUGUCUCUUUCCUUGGAGCCAUUCAUGAAUCUUCUCUGUGUUACUCUUUUCUACAUUCUGCCUGUCAGAAAAAAACUCCCCCAGCUGGAGAUGCAUCCUUACUCUGAAUGGGCAGAGAAACAACCUCAAACACAAAAUGUUUCAGCUAGGACUAUGUCAGAAAAGCUAUGUCUUUCAACUGAAAAAAAAAAGUAAAACAGGACUGCAAGCGUAUGCACUACAUAUCUGUAGCUUCUAGGAUGGGUAUGUCUCUUCACUGUCAAGAUGGCAUUUCAGAAAGACCAAGCUGUAUGAUUCCUGGAAUGUAAUUGCAUGGUCAAAGACCUUCACUAAAGAUAACAUUUGCCAGCAUACAUUUAAUAAAAUGAUU